ACCAAGAAGUAAUUGUUAUAAGCCUAAGUACUAAUAGUUAUGUUCUAAAAAUUUGAAAAAUUUGGCGGUGGUUUAGUCUUGUCAGAGGAACCUGUCUUUUAAACGAUACACCACGAAAUAUCUUACUUAAGUUUGUAAAGUAUGUAUACCAUCAUUAUUAGGUAAUUUUUAUAGAAUUAAUUACUGAAAUGCUUGUUAAAAAUGUUAAAUAUAUUAGAUCAAGGUGCAGCUAAUGCUUAAGUUAAGGNGGGUUACAAUAAAUAUUUAUUUAAUACGGAUUAAUAGUUUAAACACUACUAUGAAGGAGGAUUUGAUUGUAAAGUUAGUUUAAUACGCUAGCUAGAUAUAAGCUCUAAAGCAUGUACAUAUCGCCCGUCGCUUUCAUUAUUAGGAUGAGAUAAGUCGUAACAUA
rnacentral:rRNA from 1 species